CAGUCGCCGCGGGAAUACGUAGGUGGCAAGCGUUGUCCGGAAUUAUUGGGCGUAAAGCGCGCGCAGGCGGAUCGGUCAGUCUGUCUUAAAAGUUCGGGGCUUAACCCCGUGAUGGGAUGGAAACUGCCAAUCUAGAGUAUCGGAGAGGAAAGUGGAAUUCCAAGUGUAGCGGUGAAAUGCGUAGAUAUUAGGAAGAACACCAGUGGCGAAGGCGACUUUCUGGACGAAAACUGACGCUGAGGCGCGAAAGCCAGGGGAGCGAACGGGAUUAGAUACCCCAGUAGUCCCUGUCUCUUAUACA
rnacentral:rRNA from 1 species